rnacentral:lncRNA from 1 species
CCAUUCUUUAAUCAGGUGUCAACACGGGUAUCUCCGAAAUUGUCAUAUCUUUUGCACUUGAGCUCCUUUUUGGUCCAUUUUCAUAUUUAUUUCGAUCAUCUUGACGAAGGCCAUCAAAUGGUGACAUAAACUCAUAAUUUUAACCUCAUUUCAUUAUAGACUCAAGUCACUCUUUCCGAUCAUGCCAUUUUUGAGCGUCAACACAUGCCCCCCUGUUUUUCGGCAAAAGUAGUAUGCCGAAAAAUAACUUGUACCGUGUUGGUUCUAAGGAAGAUGUCAACACUCCAUCGGCCACGUCGCAUGUGCUUAGAGCGAUAAAUAUAUACCGGCCAUUUAUUUGAGGCGGAUUCUUGAUGCAAACUUGGGUGAAACCUUCUCAACUUCAUUAACAAUCCCAUAGAUAUGUAUCUCAAGGUCAUCCUCCAAACCAUAUUGCUCACCCUUUUGCUAGGAUUUUGCAAAUAGUCAACAAUAAACUUUCUUCAAUCCUUACUUUUUGCCUGCAUAAAAAAUCAUUAGUGGCCGAAGCGAUGGACUUCGAUUCAUCCUUAGCUAUGUUGACGAGACUAAGCAUCGGCUAUUGAAUGAAAUACAAUACACCAUGAUUAACAUAGUAGCCGGAUGCUUGCUGUGCCAACUCUUUUGAAUUGUCAUGCCUAGAAAUAUGAACAAUUUUAAAGCAACCAAGGUAAAUUUUGCAUCUAGGCAUACCUCAAGAUAAACUACAAGUGAUUCGUCAAAACAUUCAUAACCCUUGGAUAUUUGUUGCACUACUCAUAACGAAUCACCAAAAGCCUUAAUAUGUUUAGCACAUAUGGCGAAAGUUCCAAACCGAAUAACAUUGCAUAUUCAGCUUUGAUUAUUGUGCAAUAAAUAUUUUAAGAGACAUGAGGCUUCACAUAACAGCACCAUAUGGAGAUAUAUAAACAAAACCAACACCAUGGCCAUUGUUAUGAAUUCAACAGUCGAAACAUAAUCUCCAUAGCACUAGAGAGACAAGGUUAAUAUUACUUAACAUGUACAUUGUCUCGGUUCCAAUUGAACUAAGGACGAUGUUAGAAUUUCACACCGGCCAUGAUCGGAUAGUUUCUUAGGACGAUAGUUAAUUAUCGGCCAUUAUCAUGAGGUCCAUGUAGAAUUCAUCCAUUAAAGCAUGUAUAGCCGAAAUAAACAAAUAAAAUAGCAAUAAAAUAUUUCGGCCCCUUUGUCUUAGCAACAAAAAUGUAACUAACCAAAUAUAUAGUGAUUUGGUAAUACUCUGUCAUGAUAUGGAAAAUUAUGUUGCAUCCAUGGAUCAAAAUAAGUCCAUGGAGGGUAACUGAUCAUACCUGUGGAUGAAUUCCAUGACAAAGGCAUCAAUGGAAUUGUUGAAGAAAAUGGAUGAUGCGCUAACCGAAGAUUUUGAUGUUGUGAUGCGCACCUUCGGCUUAAUUGUUUGUGUCUUUCAUUAUUUUCCUUCUUCACUUUUAUUGUACUUGUUGCAACAGAAGCAUGCAUAUCAUUUUUGUCUUGAUUGAUCUUCUUGGGAACCCAUGCCAUGUUCCUCUUUCUCAUCUCUUGUGCACUAAAAUUUUGUAAUUUCUUCUUUUGCCAAUACGAUAAGCCGAGUGGGCAUCUCGGCUGUGAUUCUGUUUUGACCAAUGACAAUUCUUUCUUGGCCUUGUGCACUCUCAACUUCUUUUCUUCAGAUUUGGCACUUUGACUCUCAAUAAUUGGUUGCUUCAUCUCAUUGCUUUUAGUAGCCAAUGUCAACACUUUCAUUGGCUCUUUUUCAUUUGAGAUCAAAUCUGAAGUAGCACUUUUACGACCAUCUCUUUUAACGCGGUAAACUUGUUUGACCACCUCUUUCUUCUUCCUUGAGCUUUGGACCGAUUCCUUAUGAUUGAAACGGUCUUUGACGCGUGGUUGUUCAAAUGUUGAUCUCCUUGGAGCUGCAUAGUAUUGGUGAGAUGGUCUAGAAUAAGAUGGAGAAUGUGCCCUUGUAUCAUACCUGUCCCAUAAUGAAUAUGUAUCUAUAUGAGCAUAGGGAGGCAUCCACGGCAUUGGCAUUUGCGGCCCAAAAUAAGGAUAUGAAUAUGUUGCAUUAAAAUUAUUACUUUGCCAAUACCAAUCCUCAUAUUUGCGCCUUGGGGGUGAUCUUGCUUUCUUUGCAUGAUUUGGCCGAUAAGCAUUCUUCUCUUCACUCUUCUUUUGAUAUUUAUCCAAUAGUUCAGCGAAGGUGAUUUUUGAUCUCUUACACUUGCGCUUAUUUUGGCUUUUGUUUUCUUUUGUUUUGCUUCCAUCGAUCAUUGGAUUUGCUUGCUGCCCCCAGUCCUUAGCGUCUCCAUUGUAGCUUCGAUGGAAAUUUUGCCCUCAAGGUUAUGUUCAUUAUGCUCUUCAACAAAUUCUUUACUUGAAAGCUCGAUCCCAUCACAUGCUAUUUUUACCUUCUCUUUAAAUGGAUCGGCUUGAAGCAGCCGAUGCAAAAACUUUCUACCAUCGGGACCAAUCGGAAUAGACUGGUCAUCUCUUGGUGUCUCAACAAAUUUCAAUCGUCCUUUAUCAAUGGCCGAUUUAACUAUUUGACGAAACAUAUUGCAAUCCUCAAAAUUAUGUUUGAACGAAUGAUGCAACCUACAAUACAUUCGUCCUUGAAUUGAUGGCUUAACAUGGUGAUCAAGAAUUCUAAUGUAAUUAUUUUUCAACAACAAAUCAAAGAUUUGAUCACACAUGUUUGAAUCAAAGGUAUACCUUUUGUUUUCUAGCCGAUCUUGUUGUGAGAACAGCUUUGGAGUUAAGCAAACGAAUGGUUCAGAUUUGGAAUCUCCCCAUUCGGCUAUGCAUUGUGUUUUUCACUCUAUCUCCGAUGUCUUUGGAUAAGAUAUUAUAUUAGCAUCGGUUUUCUCAAUAGAAUUUAACCUUGGCUUUAAAUUUCUAAAACGAAGAUAUUUAGAACAUACAUGUCUCAGUUGAGACCAAGUGUAAGCCAAGUAAGAAAUAAGCAAAGCUACCCAACUAGAUAUGAACUUUAGAGAAAGCAACAGGAAAAGCUUUGAUUGUAACAAUAAGUCAUUAUCGGUCUUUAUAAAUGGCGCAAUGGGUUGACCGAUAUGUUCCAUAACAAUUUUACUACUAACAAGUAAAUUACCCUUCUUCAUUGGUCUUUCAAAAUUACUUAUGAGAAUAUUUCUUAUAAAUGCAUCAAUAAUGAAGUUGCAACCAAAUCUGAAAAUAGGUAAAUUACUCGCUAUGCAUACCUCUUCAAAUAUGUUGGGAGAGCAUGAUAGUGGUGCCAUUUGAAGAACAUCUCGCUCCAUCUUUGGAUGGCUCCCCAACACCUUGUCAUCAUCUUUUUCUUAAAUCCGUGCAUCAUUGCUUUGAAGAUUUUUGCCGGCCGAACUUUGUUCGGCUACUUGUUCUUGUCCUUGAAACUUGUCAAUUUCUACGACACGGAACUCAUAGGGCAGGAAGUAGGUUCCAUUAACUUCAGAAAAAAUCAAGCACCAUUGUUUUCCUAUGCUUGCCAUGCCCUUUCUCAAUAAUGCUUGCCUCGUUGGAUUUGAUGGAUUCAGAAUAUAUGCUACUUGAUUCGGCUUUUUCAACCGAAGCACUUUCAUGUUUCGAAUCAUCCUUCUUUUCAUUGAUAGUACCAAUUGGCAAUGCUUCUUUUAUCUGAGCCAAUUCUUUUUCUAUUUAUUUUUGACGGCGAGCGGCAAAAUUAGCUUUAAGCUUUUUCUCAAUUUCAGCCCACUCCGGAUAUGAUUGCCCCCCAAGGCUUUUAGAUUCUUUCGGCAAUGACACACGGGUGUUGCCGAAAUUUUGCAAUUGUGUAGCGGGUGUAUAAUAUGAUGUAGUACUAGGUGAAGGCAUAUGCAGUGUUGUAAGACCAUACUUUUGCUCGCCAAUUUUAUCAAUUGGCAAAGAUUCAUCUUCUUGCAAAACUCUAACUUUUAUUGCGGCAUAAUCAGGAAAUAGCCCCUUUUCAUGUUGUUCAAGGCAAAGAGCACUAAUUCUCUUAUUUUGGGCUAAACUCUUCAAUGCAGCCACCACUACCUCAUCUUCUACAAUGUUGGGCACAACCGCUCCUGUAAAAUUUAUAUUCAUUCGGCUAUAACCAGGAAGGUGUGAAGCCGAAUUAUGAGCAUCUACAGUUGUGUAUGGUGCCGAAGAAUUACUAACAUGAGGUGUUGCAUAUGACGGUUGAGAGUAAUUCGCCAAAUAGCCAUUAGUAGCAUGGCCAAUUCUCUCAUUCAUCGGCAUGGUUGGAUUACUAUAUUGCACAUUAGCUGUCGAUGAAUAAAAGGGUGAAACACUUUCUUGUAUGGCAUUGGAAAUUCUAACUUGGGGUGUUUCAAAUUGAUUAAUCAAACUCAUCAUGUUGCUCAUCGGCAUAUGAAUUUGUGGGGUUGCCGAUGCAUGGGAGUUGGGAUACAUAUGUUGCAUGUUGCUAAAUUUAUAAGAAUUUGAAACAUGAAGAUUGUUUUGCAUCGGCUCUUGCACAUAAUUAGAUGCAUGAUUGAUAAAAUUAGGGCUAGCCGAUACAUUAUGCUCAAUAGGUGAUCCAGCAACAACAUAUGGAUUAUUUGCAUCUACAAAGGGGAAUUGGGUAUUCAUAUUACCUUUCUAGAUUGCAGCAACUUGAUGACGAUCUCUUCGUAGCAAGAACGGGCUGGAGACCGUUCAAAGCUUCUUCCCCAGUGGAGUCGCCAAAAAGUGUGUUCGCACAUGAACACGUCACCGUGUACCCUCGACGCCGGGGGUGAUGCACCGCAGCUCACGUCGAAGGAGACCCGUCCGGAAGCACGGUACGCAGGCAAUCCGGCGGGCGCUUUUGUAGACCCAAAACCCCACACUCCCGGGAGGGACCCCGUCAGGGCGCGCGGCGGCUAUGGGCUGCCCUAGGUCGGCCUGACCGCCCCUAGGGCCUCGUGGAUCGCCGCCCUGCAACAAGAAGAACGAACGAAGAACGAGGAAGAAGAAGAACAAGGGAGAGAGAUAAAGAUAAAGGUAAAAGAUAAUAGAUUGAUUUGUUCGAUUGUGUGUUGUUCAAUCGGCCGUCACCUCUUGUCUAUAUAAGAGGCGGAUGGACUUCCCAUACAAGAAAAUGACUUGCCUUGCCGUCCAAAUCAUCAAAAUCUAACCAAAUUCGGACUUCUUACGACCUCCGGCCCGGAUGUCCGGCUCUAGGCCCGGAUGAUCCGGCCAAGCCCAGAUUUCUGAUAGCAGUCCACUAAUUGGGCUGUAACUUUUGCAUACGAACUCGGAUUAAGACGAUUGUUAUAUGAAAAUCAACCGCCUCGACGAGACGCACAACUUUUCUGUUGAACACUUUUUGAUCUGAGGUCAUCUCGAGGGAGUUUCGGGCUGUUUUCUAACGUCUGAAGCAGAAAAACUUGUCCGGACGUCCGGACGAUUGCCCGGACUGUCCGGCCUUUAUCCGGAUCAUCCGGGAGUUGACCCAGAUCAUCCGGCUUCAGCGCCAACCUUCUGGAAUCUUAGUGCUUCAAUUACCCGGAUGAUCCGGACCCCGGCCCGGAUGAUCCGGCCAACAUUGGUGCAGCGCACGGUUUUGCCUAGAACUUUUGCAUACGACUUCGGAUGGAGACGAUCUUUAUAUCAAAAUCGUCCGUUUCAAUGAGACGAAGAACUUUGCAGUUGUAACAUUUUCCAUCAGAGGUCAUCUUAAUUAGGUUCCAUGCCAUUCUUUAAUCAGGUGUCAACACGGGUAUCUCCGAAAUUGUCAUAUCUUUUGCACUUGAGCUCCUUUUUGGUCCAUCUUCAUAUUUAUUUCGAUCAUCUUGACGAAGGCCAUCAAAUGGUGACAUAAACUCAUAAUUUUAACCUCAUUCCAUUAUAGACUCAAGUCACUCUUUCCGAUCAUGCCAUUUUUGAGCGUCAACAGUA